rnacentral:tRNA from 1 species
UAGCUCAGAUGGUAGAGCGACAGACUCUUAAUCUGUUGGUCGUGGGUUCGAGCCCCAU